GACGAACGCUGGCGGCGUGCUUAACACAUGCAAGUCGAACGGAAAGGCCCUGCUUUUGUGGGGUGCUCGAGUGGCGAACGGGUGAGUAACACGUGAGUAACCUGCCCUUGACUUUGGGAUAACUUCAGGAAACUGGGGCUAAUACCGGAUAGGAGCUCCUGCUGCAUGGUGUGGGUUGGAAAGUUUCGGCGGUUGGGGAUGGACUCGCGGCUUAUCAGCUUGUUGGUGGGGUAGUGGCUUACCAAGGCUUUGACGGGUAGCCGGCCUGAGAGGGUGACCGGCCACAUUGGGACUGGAAUACGGCCCAGACUCCUACGGGAGGCAGCAGUGGGGAAUAUUGCACAAUGGGCGGAAGCCUGAUGCAGCAACGCCGCGUGCGGGAUGACGGCCUUCGGGUUGUAAACCGCUUUCGCCUGUGACGAAGCGUGAGUGACGGUAAUGGGUAGAGAAGCACCGGCUAACUACGUG
rnacentral:rRNA from 1 species